GGCGACGAUCCGUAACUGGUCUGAGAGGAUGAUCAGUCACACUGGAACUGAGACACGGUCCAGACUCCUACGGGAGGCAGCAGUGGGGAAUAUUGGACAAUGGGCGAAAGCCUGAUCCAGCCAUGCCGCGUGUGUGAAGAAGGUCUUCGGAUUGUAAAGCACUUUAAGUUGGGAGGAAGGGCAGUAAGUUAAUACCUUGCUGUUUUGACGUUACCAACAGAAUAAGCACCGGCUAACUUCGUGCCAGCAGCCGCGGUAAUACGAAGGGUGCAAGCGUUAAUCGGAAUUACUGGGCGUAAAGCGCGCGUAGGUGGUUCGUUAAGUUGGAUGUGAAAGCCCCGGGCUCAACCUGGGAACUGCAUCCAAAACUGGCGAGCUAGAGUAUGGCAGAGGGUGGUGGAAUUUCCUGUGUAGCGGUGA
rnacentral:rRNA from 2 species